AAUAUACUCCCUCCAUCCCAUAUUAAGUGACUUUCUAUUACAUGUAUCUAGACGCUUUUUAGACAUAAAUACAUUCAUAUUUGGGCAAAUUUGAGUCACUUAAUAUGGGACGGAGGAAGUAAGUU
rfam:Brachypodium distachyon strain Bd21 chromosome 2, whole genome shotgun sequence.